CUAGUACUCCCUCCGUCCGAAAAUACUUGUCAUCAAAAUGAAUAAAAGGGGAUGUAUCUAGAUGUAUUUUAGUUCUAUAUACAUCCCUUUUGUCCAUUUUGAUGACAAGUAUUUCCGGACGGAGGGAGUACUGC
rnacentral:pre_miRNA from 1 species